UUUUGAAUUUUGAGAUUUUAAACCAGAAUACAGAAUUCAACCCAGAAUUCCAAUCUCAUUAUGAUGCAACAAUUAGGCAAGAUUCCUUGGCUAAAUAUUACAACUCUAGAAUGUUACAACAAACAGAAGAACCAACGAAAAAAAAACGUAAUCAAUCACUUAACCAUAACUUAAUUGUAUACUUUUUAAACUCUUUGUAAUUGGACGAAAUUUGCGGAGGUGAGACUGAAUCUGGAGAAUGAAUCCCAAUAGCUGGUCAGAAAACAAUAGCCUAAUGUGUAAAAAAAAAAAAAUCUGGCUUUUAAGUAAAUCAGUAAAAGUAGGCCUACUCACUAGCAUUUACUAGAUUAUACCAAUUACCCUGAGGGUAACUGAAGUUUGAAAUCUGGCAUGGUCUAACAGUUUUAAGAAAAUGACAGGAACAAAUCAAAAAUAACUACUACAUGUUUCUCCAUAUAUCAAUGCAGAGAUGGGUUAGUACACUGGAGAAAUAAUUGACUGAAAGUGAGGAGAAAGGCAACACGAUGAGGGAGGAAUAAGAGAAAGAAAGACAAAGAGAAAUGGAAGGGCUGCUGACAAUGAGAAAGGAGAUUAAGACUUGUAACAAGGUAGACCACAACCGAUGGAAGCUGGAGAGAGAGGUGUUGGAGAAAGUCAACAAGGUGUGGAUGGAAUCAGAGCUAGCAAAGAGAAAGGCUAAUUGAAGAGUUGCUGAGGCAGAUAAGGGAGACUGAGGCUCCUAUUGAGGUACACCACUACCAAUGGAAGCUAGAGAGAGAGUUGUUUGAGAAACAGAGAGAAAGCGUAGUGUCAGACAGAAAGAAGAUGGAGCUCAAGAUGGCAAAGCUGAAGGUGCAGAACAUACUGAACUUGGCCGAGAUAGGAGAGGUGACAGUGGAGAGUACUAAGCUGUUAGCUGAGAAUGAAAGGAAGAGAGAGAUGUUGGAGAAACAGAAAAAGCUUAGUGGCAGACAAAGAAAAACUAGAAGUCAAGAUGACAAAGGUGACAAUGCAGAACAUACUGCACUUGGCCAAGAUAGGGAAGUUGACCGUGGAGAACACGAGGCUGUUAGCAGAGAAUGAAAGGCAGCGAGAGGUGUUGGACAAACACAGAGAAAGUGCAGCAGCCGACACACAAACCUUGAUGGGCAAGGUAUCAAAGGUGAAGAUGUCCUUGGCCAAGUUAUGGAGGUUGAGAGUGGAGAACAAGAAGAGAUUGUUAGCUGAGAAUGAAAGGGUGGUGAAGGAGAGGGUGAGAGAGAGGAAUGGAUGGAACCUCAUAAGAAAUGGUUUGAAGGCAGAUUUGGCCAAAGCAGACCUGGAGAGGAAUCAGACCUUAGUAGGCUGGAAGGAGGACAGGGGGAGAUGGCCAAGGCCAAGGCUGGCCUAGAAAGAAUCUGGGAUCAACAGGGGGAAAGAUGGAUGAAGGAGAAGGAGGAGAUUAAGAGAAGGAGCACACAGGCAGCAGAGGAGUGGAUGAUUGAACUGAGAGAAAAGGAGAGAGCGAUAGAGGCCCUGGAAAGAGAAAAGAUGAGGAUUCUUUGCCUGCAUGGACAAGAGAAGAAGGGAUGGAAGAUGGAAAAGGAGAGGUUGGCGCUUACAUGGGAGUGGGAGAGAACGAAUAGUGAAAUUGAGAAAAUGCAAAGCGAGAAAGACAGAUGGCCAAUAGAGAAGAGAGAUAUGGUGGAGAGGAUGAAAGAGGCAUACAUAAAGCUGUACCAGAUGCAGACUGCCCUGAGGUUCGGAGAGCAAGAGCAGCCACAGAAGGAAACUAAAACUGCCCAGAGAGUCAGGGCAAAGCUAGAGAAGAAGAAGAGGAAAGAAAGAGAGAUGUUGGAGAAGAACAAAGUGAAAGAGCUGCUCAGAGCUAGAAAAGCAGAGAGUAAGGAAGAAGUGAGGAAGAAUAAGGAGAGGGUGAAGGCCCACAUGGGCGAGGUGACAAGGAACUAUAACUGUCACGACCUCCGCCAAAGUCGUCUCUUCUCCUUGUUCGGGCUGCGUUCGGCGGUCGACGUCACCAGCUUUCUAGCCAUCGCCGCUCCAUUUUUCAUGUAUCCAUUUGUUUUGACUUGUUCCCUGCACACCUGGUUUUCAUUCCCCAUUCAAUCUACAUGUAUGUAUUCCUCUGUUCCCCAUCGUGUCUUUGUGUAAGAUUGUAUGUGUUACGUGUAUUUUGUCUAUUGGUGUUUUUGUUACGCACCAGACAUCUGUCUAUGUUCCGUGUUUUGGGCACGUUGUUUGUGCUUUUGAUAUUUUACCGGAAUAAUGUGUGAGCCUGUUCACUUCACUCUGCUCUCCUGCACCUGACUUCGCCUCCAGUACACAUCAAGUGACCAUAACAAAAGGAAACAGAGGGAGAAAGAGAGAGAAAAGCUGUUGAAAAAAAGCACAUGGCAAAGAAAAUCACAUGGCGUACAUCCCAGACAACUGAAGAAGAAGUCAGAAUGCAACACAGAUGGAAAAGUAAAUACCGUCAGCUGGCACUGGUUAGAAUUUAAAUUCAGUCUUCUUUCAUUUAGUGGAAUACUUCAUCAAUUAAAUAUUAUGAGCAUUUGAGUUAUUUGUUCGUAUUUAUUUCAAAAUGUGGUUACUGAAUAAUGCAAUGAAAGUUAACUUGACUGACG
ensembl:lncRNA